UACGUAGGGGGCAAGCGUUGUCCGGAAUCAUUGGGCGUAAAGCGCGUGUAGGCGGCCCAGUAAGUCCGCUCUGAAAGCCCGGGGCUUAACCCCGGGAGGCGGGUGGAUACUGCUGGGCUCGAGUCCGGAAGAGGCGAGUGGAAUUCCCGGUGUAGCGGUGAAAUGCGCAGAUAUCAGGAGGAACACCAAUUGCGAAGGCAGCUCGCUGGGACGUUACUGACGCUGAGACGCGAAAGCGUGGGGAGCAAACAGG
rnacentral:rRNA from 1 species